GUGAACCCGGUCAGGCCCGGAAGGGAGCAGCCGAAGCGGUGGAUGUGUGUGCCG
rnacentral:SRP_RNA from 2 species